rnacentral:lncRNA from 1 species
GUUCAUUCAGUCAACUGUAUUACAACAGCCAGAAAGAAAAUGGUGAAAAGUUUUGCACUUGGGUAGAGGCAAUCCCCGAUAUGAGUAUAGGCUGGGAGAAGAAUUCCUUCAGGGUAGCCCUGCAGAGAAGGACUUGAGCAUCCUGAUGGACAAAAAGCUGGACAUGAGCCAGCAGCGUGCGUUUGUAGCCUGAUAGGCCAACAGUAUCCUGGGCAGUAUCAACAGCGGGGUGGCCAGCAGGGAGAGUGUGGGGAUUGUCCCACUCUACUUUCUCCUCGUGAGGCCCCAUCUGGAGUACUGCAUCCAGGUCUGGGGUCCCCAGCACAAGAAAGAUGUGGAGCUGUUGGAGUGGGCCCAAACCAGGGCCACAAGGAUGAUCAGAGGGCUGGAGCACUUCUCUUAUGAAGAAAGGCUGAGGGAGCUGGGCUUGUUUAGCUUGCAGAAGGCUCUGGGGAGACCUCACUGCAGCCUUCCAGUGCCUGAGAAGAGCUUUCAAGCAGGAGAUUCUCACCCCACGAAAAACAGACAGAGGCAUGAUGCCCUUCAUAAAAGUCGACAGGAGAUAUGGAGAGACCAUCCAAUUAUGACAUCCCUUGGAGAUAUUAAAACUGUCAGAAGAAGUUUACAG